rnacentral:rRNA from 1 species
UACGGAAGGGGCAAGCGUUGUUCGGAAUUAUUGGGCGUAAAGGGCGCGUAGGCGGGAUGGCAAGUCGGUCGUGAAAUCCCUCGGCUCAACCGAGGAACGUCGAUCGAUACUGCUGUUCUUGAGGAUUGCAGAGGAGACUGGAAUUCCCGGUGUAGCGGUGAAAUGUGUAGAGAUCGGGAGGAACACCGGUGGCGAAGGCGGGUCUCUGGGCAAUUCCUGACGCUGAGGCGCGAAAGCGUGGGGAGCAAACGGG